UGUGACAGGGUCAUCCCGAGUGCCGACCGCUGAGGUUGGCUUUUACCCAGUCUAGAAAGCUGGGGGAAUAAGGAGAGGGCAAGUCUGGUGUCAGCCGCCGCGGUAAUACCAGCUCUCCGAGUGGUGUGGACGUUUAUUGGGCCUAAAGCAUCCGUAGCUGGCUGAACAAGUCCCCUGUUAAACCCACCGAUUUAAUCGUUGGUCUGCGGGGGAUACUGCUCGGCUAGGGGACGAGAGAGGCAGACGGUAUUCCCGGGGUAGGGGUGAAAUCCUAUAAUCCCGAGAAGACCACCAGUGGCGAAGGCUGUCUGCUAGAACGCGCCCGACGGUGAGGGAUGAAAGCUGGGGGAGCGAACCGGAUUAGAUACCCGGGUAGCCCCAGCUGUAAACGAUGCAGACUAGGUGUUUGGACGGCCACGUGCCGUUCUAGUGCCGCAGGGAAGCUGUUAAGUCUGCCGCCUGGGGAGUACGAUCGCAAGAUUGAAACUUAAAGGAAUUGGCGGGGGAGCAC
rnacentral:rRNA from 1 species